rnacentral:rRNA from 1 species
CCUACGGGAGGCAGCAGUGGGGAAUAUUGCACAAUGGGGGAAACCCUGAUGCAGCGACGCCGCGUGAGUGAAGACGGAUUUCGGUGUGUAAAGCUCUAUCAGCAGGGAAGAAAAUGACGGUACCUGAGUAAUAAGCCCCGGCUAACUACGUGCCAGCAGCCGCGGUAAUACGUAGGGGGCCAGCGUUAUCCGGAUUUACUGGGUGUAAAGGGAGCGUAGACGGCAGCACAAGUCUGGAGUGAAAUGCCGGGGCUUAACCCCGGAACUGCUUUGGAAACUGUGCAGCUAGAGUGCAGGAGAGGUAAGUGGAAUUCCUAGUGUAGCGGUGAAAUGCGUAGAUAUUAGGAGGAACACCAGUGGCGAAGGCGGCUUACUGGACUGUAACUGACGUUGAGGCUCGAAAGCGUGGGGAGCAAACAGGAUUAGAUACCCCAGUAGUC